GCAGCUUUUUAUCCUUGUUCAGUGCAACAUUAGUAUUUUAGUAAGGUCAUACCUGAUAUAUAUCCCUUUUAAUUCUAGGUGUAUUCACAUCAUCCGGUUCAAUACCUGCUAUAUGGAUCAAUUUUGCACGUAGACUUCUUUUUUCUGCGACGACCAAACUGAGUUGUCUAAGGUUGUUUCAUGUUCUUCUGCGGCCUUCUCCCAGGGAUCAUGAAUGUCGUAUGGCAAUAGGAAAAAUGCUUGAGCUUCCUGGGGAAAAAAGCUGGUAAUUCAUUUGGUGAACCAAGUGGUAAUUCUGAUAAAGUUAAAGACAUGAGCUCUAGUCUUAUCAAGCACGGCCUUAGCUAUCAUGGAAACGAUUUACUCUACUCAGGUGUGUUUCUUAUAUCAAGUCACUA